UCCUUCGUGGUGUAGUGGUCAGCACGCUCGACGCGUAACCGAGAGGUCCGUGGUUCGAUUCCCGGGGAGGGCA
rnacentral:tRNA from 1 species